rnacentral:rRNA from 1 species
AUGGUCUUAGCUUGCUAAGGCCGAUGGCGACCGGCGCACGGGUGAGUAACACGUAUCCAACCUGCCGUCUACUCUUGGACAGCCUUCUGAAAGGAAGAUUAAUACAAGAUGGCAUCAUGAGUCCGCAUGUUCACAUGAUUAAAGGUAUUCCGGUAGACGAUGGGGAUGCGUUCCAUUAGAUAGUAGGCGGGGUAACGGCCCACCUAGUCUUCGAUGGAUAGGGGUUCUGAGAGGAAGGUCCCCCACAUUGGAACUGAGACACGGUCCAAACUCCUACGGGAGGCAGCAGUGAGGAAUAUUGGUCAAUGGGCGAGAGCCUGAACCAGCCAAGUAGCGUGAAGGAUGACUGCCCUAUGGGUUGUAAACUUCUUUUAUAAAGGAAUAAAGUCGGGUAUGUAUACCCGUUUGCAUGUACUUUAUGAAUAAGGAUCGGCUAACUCCGUGCCAGCAGCCGCGGUAAUACGGAGGAUCCGAGCGUUAUCCGGAUUUAUUGGGUUUAAAGGGAGCGUAGAUGGAUGUUUAAGUCAGUUGUGAAAGUUUGCGGCUCAACCGUAAAAUUGCAGUUGAUACUGGAUAUCUUGAGUGCAGUUGAGGCAGGCGGAAUUCGUGGUGUAGCGGUGAAAUGCUUAGAUAUCACGAAGAACUCCGAUUGCGAAGGCAGCCUGCUAAGCUGCAACUGACAUUGAGGCUCGAAAGUGUGGGGUAUCAAACAGG